rnacentral:rRNA from 1 species
UACGUAGGUGGCAAGCGUUGUCCGGAUUUACUGGGCGUAAAGAGCGCGCAGGCGGUCGUUCAAGUCGCGUGUGAAAGCCCCCGGCUCAACUGGGGAGGGUCACGCGAUACUGAUCGACUGGAAGGCAGGAGAGGGUAGUGGAAUUCCCGGUGUAGUGGUGAAAUGCGUAGAUAUCUGGAGGAACACCGGUGGCGAAGGCGGCAUCCUGGACCGGUAUUGACGCUUAUGCGCGAAAGCCAGGGGAGCAAACGGG